rnacentral:rRNA from 1 species
CCUACGGGUAGCAGCAGUGGGGAAUAUUGCACAAUGGGGGAAACCCUGAUGGUGCGACGCCGCGUGGGGGAAUGAAGGUCUUCGGAUUGUACACCCCUGUCAUGUGGGAGCAAAUUAAAAAGAUAGUACCCCAAGAGGAAGAGACGGCUAACUCUGUGCCAGCAGCCGCGGUAAUACAGAGGUCUCAAGCGUUGUUCGGAAUCACUGGGCGUAAAGCGUGCGUAGGCUGUUUCGUAAGUCGUGUGUGAAAGGCGCGGGCUCAACCCGCGGACGGCACAUGAUACUGCGAGACUAGAGUAAUGGAGGGGGAACCGGAAUUCUCGGUGUAGCAGUGAAAUGCGUAGAUAUCGAGAGGAACACUCGUGGCGAAGGCGGGUUCCUGGACAUUAACUGACGCUGAGGCACGAAGGCCAGGGGAGCGAAAGGGAUUAGAUACCCCAGUAGUC